UGCACUUUUACUAAAGAUAAACAUGGCAAAUUUGUACAUUUUACAUAAAGAAUCAAAUCAUUGAGCAGUAACCACUUUUAGUUAACAUUACUCAGCUCUAGAAUUUCAUGGCUAGGAGAACUUCAAUUCUCAUUAAUUCUUAUUAAGCACAAGAAAAUGAGAUUUUUUCAGAAUGAAGUCUAAAAAUGAAAUAUGCUUUACUUUCCAAUUAACUAUAUUUCUCUACGGAAAUUUUCCUGAAGAUGCUUCCAAUCAUCUACAGUAAUGAGAACAGGUCAAAGAGGAAGCCAUAAAUAACUUUAAAGGGGAAAUAUUAGAAUGAUCAAAUCUUACACGUUAUGAGUCCCACAUUUCCUAUGUAUGCACAGAUUAUGCUCAAAUUUAGUGUAAUAUGGAGUAUUUUUGUAUUAGCUUUGUUGUAGGGUAGAUUAUUUGAAGUAGGUCUGCAAAGGACUGCUGUAAAUAUCCAUGGUGGCAUAAUAGUAAUGUAAACAUGAAUGUGAGAGUGGCAGGAGGCAGCCAAAUGCCUAGAGAGAAUAGGGGUGGGUCCUCGGUGAAGCCCCACUUCCAAGCCAAAGACAGUUUAAAGCCUGAAAGCCAAGCUACAAAUUAAAUCCUUGAACCGGAUUGAGAACUUGUCUUCCUGUUUGACUCAAUUUCUUCUGAUUGAUCCCCACCCUUCACCUAUUUUACAUACACCCACCCUUUCCUAACUGGUUUUCUACACUGUUGUGCCCACCAUUGAGUGGUGUCUUCACUUUAACCUUUUUUACAUACUCACAAACCAAUCAGCAUGCACUCCCCAUUCUGAGUCCAUAAAAGGACCUGGACCCAGGCACAUGGGGCACUUUCCCGUCUUUGGGUAGGGGAACCACCCCGCACUGCGUCUCCUGUUUGCUGAGAGCUUUCCUUUCACUUAAUAAAUUUUACUCCACUCACUCUCCAGUGUCCACCUGUCUAAUUCUUCCUGGUUGUAAGACAAGAACUUGGAUCUAGCUGAACUAAGGAGCACAAAGACCACAACAAAUGUAACAGGGACACAACUGUAUGCACAGAGCAGACAGCCAGUCAGUACUUGCUAACCUACCUGUUACAGCUAAAUCAAUAUCCCAGGGACUGUACAUGUCAAGGAACAACAGGUAGAUUUCCUGAAUUAGAUUCUUUUCUUUAGGCAUGAAAAAAGAUCAUCUAUUAGUAAAGCCCAUAGCUAGCCCUCUAAUUAGAAAUUUAACACAGAUUAAAUGUCCUUGUAAAAUUAAACGAAUUUCACUUUUUGACAUUUAUUAGAUUUAUACACAAUCUAGUGUUUUACAAAAAUCCAGCACUUAAUAAUAAGUUAUUAGACUUAAUGAAGUAAGUAUAAUCAGAAUCCUUAUUGAUAACGCUCUCUACCAAAACAUACUUUGACAAUUUAUGGUGGAGAAGAAAAGACUCAUUAAUUAUCUGUUUAUACUUCUGCUAAUUGUAAUCAUUUAAAGUUGUUUGAUCAGUAUUUUUAUAUAUGGCAUUUAUAAUCAACUAUAGAAUCUUAAACUUACAAGUGAGAAUUCUUUCAAAAAAUUUCAAACAGAGCCCAGAUUAAUAAUUUUUUGUUUGGAGACAUCAGACCUUAUCUAUGUUUUAAUACACAGCACAAAUAUACACCAAGAAAAAUGACAAAUAACCACAUCAUUAACAUGCGCUUAUUGAAACAACCACAUAGCUGCACGCAAAAGAAUAAUAUUUGUACUUGUUUCCUUCCUUAAUCUCUGCAGCAUUAUGAAGUAAUAUAUUACAAAGGAAAUCCUUUUUAUUAAUGAGGAGAAGCAAAUAAAUAUAUUUCUAUUGGCAUUAAAAACUAGAUAAAUUUUUACCAUUCAAAGGAUUGCUACCUGAGAAUAUGUUUAUGUAGUAGCAUUUUGAAUUCUUUUUAUUUUUUAAAUCCUAUUUUUAAAAACUGCUAAAUCUACAAUACUGGGCUUGAAAAUCACAAUAAUCAAAGACAUGAUCGUUCUGUGCACAUCUGCCUCCUGUCCACUUAGAGACCCUGCUCUGCUGACAUUUUUUUCUGUGAUUUUGUUUUUCUCCUAGAUAACCUUCAUAUUCUGGGCAUCAGCACAAUCCUCCAAAUCCCUUUUGAAAACAAAUGCAUCCUUAUUGCUAUGGCAGCCACUUAAUCUAGACACAAAUACAGCUAUAUUAGGUGCACUGUAAUGAAAAGUGAGGAAAGGAGAGUAGAGGAGAAGGAGGAGAGAUAAAAUAUUUUAGAGAACAUUUAUAAAGAUUCCUUGUAAAGUUGAUAAACAAUCUUUGAAAGACACAGAAUCCAAAAUACAUAUGAAGAUUAUGUGGAUUACAAAAGAAAGCACUGCUCAACUUGACCCUAUCAGCUUUACCUGACUUCCUGGGAGGUACAGAACAAGAAUCUUCAAGAGAGAAAAAUGACAUUCAACCAAGCAAAUCUAAUGCAAGUGGGUUAUGAACACAGUUAUCAAAAUCAACCCAAGUAAUUGUGAGGAAAUAUACAACUGUAUGUGAAGAAACCAGAGAAGAUGAAGACAAACCGCACAUGCUUCCUUAAAACAAAAUCUACAUCCAGCUUCAAUAAAAAGAUAGGUGUUUCCACACACACACACACAAGUUCCAAAAUAGCUCAUCAAAAGUACUGAACCAGACAUAUGAAGACUUGAAGAUAAAGGAGUCAGAGAAAAAUACGGAAUUAGCUUAUAACUGUAUCUUCUCAUCAGUCCUCCAACUAGUACAAUUAGGAAAAGCAGGCAGCAGGUAGAAAUAUCUGUAUAUAAAAAUAAUUGCUACAUAAUAAAGAUACUGUCAC